GAGAGUGCAGGCGCUGAGGACAGCGACGAUCCCGAGACGAGACCCAACGGCGAGAAAGGAGAGAGCAAGAGAUGCCAUGGACUACAAGGUGAUGAAUACCACUAUGAGCUCACUACAAGAUCUCAAAGAUUUCAAGCCACUGGCUGUUACAAAGCAUAAAGCCACCCUUCUGGAGCAGCGGCGGGAGGCAGGCUGGGAGGAGGCCCCAAGUUUUGGCCAGACGAUAGACCACCUCCUUAGGUGUCCGGGGAGCUGCUGAAACAUAAUGAGGAAGAUGCUGCUGAUCCAAAGGAUAAAAACACAGAAACUAGAACCAAGAAGCACCUAAAGUGGACUCAUGCCCAGCAUCCCUGCAGACUGACUUUCUCUGAGCUAUAGUUCUGCAUUGGACUGUUUUUCCUUUGCUAUCACCUGCCCAACACACAAUCCUGGAUGCUUUUGAUUGGUU
rnacentral:lncRNA from 1 species